GGGGAAUUUUGGACAAUGGGGGCAACCCUGAUCCAGCCAUCCCGCGUGUGCGAUGAAGGCCUUCGGGUUGUAAAGCACUUUUGGCAGGGAAGAAAAGGCGCUGGUUAAUACCUGGCGCCGCUGACGGUACCUGCAGAAUAAGCACCGGCUAACUACGUGCCAGCAGCCGCGGUAAUACGUAGGGUGCAAGCGUUAAUCGGAAUUACUGGGCGUAAAGCGAGCGCAGGCGGUUCGGCAAGAAGGAUGUGAAAGCCCGGGGCUUAACCUCGGAACUGCAUUCUUAACUGCCGGGCUAGAGUAUGUCAGAGGGGGGUAGAAUUCCACGUGUAGCAGUGAAAUGCGUAGAGAUGUGGAGGAAUACCGAUGGCGAAGGCAGCCCCCUGGGAUAAUACUGACGCUCAUGCACGAAAGCGUGGGGAGCAAAC
rnacentral:rRNA from 1 species